GGAGGGGCCAGGGGGGACGUAUCCGGUCGGAGAUCCGGCACAUCGGGGCGACGAGGACGGCGCCGGCCCAGGCGGAGGGGCGGCGGUCGCGGAGGUGGAUGAGGAGGCAGAGUGCGCCGCCCAUGGACUCGCCGUAGAGGAGGCGUAGGAGAUCGUCGGGGAUGGAAUUGAAGAAGGAGAUGAGAUCUUCGACGACGGCGUCCACGUCGGGGACGAAGGCGCGGAGGCCGGGGGAGCGGCCGUGGCCGGGGAGGUCGGGGGCGACGCAGGCAAAGCCGUGGCGGGCGAAGAAGAUGGCGGUGGACUGG
rnacentral:misc_RNA from 1 species